rnacentral:rRNA from 1 species
CGUGCAGAGAUAGAACGCGUAGCGGCAGGUACUUAAUACAUGACAAGGUUGGAGGGGCAGCAUGAUAUACGCGAGUAUAUUGAUGGCGACCGGCGGGACGGGUGAGUAAGUAGGUAGGACGACCUACCUCAUACGAGGGGGAUAGCAUAGAGAAAUCUGUGGUAAUACCCCAUGAGGUUAUAUGAAUAGAGGCAUAUAAUCAAAGCAUAAGCGAUUAUGCGGUAUGAGAGGGGCCUACUGACCAUUAGCUAGUUGGUGAGGUAAGGGCUCACCAAGGCGAAGAUGGUUAGGGGUUUUGAGAGAGAGACCCCCCACAUUGGAACUGAGAGACGGUCCAGACUCCUACGGGAGGCAGCAGUAGGGAAUAUUGGGCAAUGGGCGAAAGCCUGACCCAGCCAUGCCGCGUGAAGGAAGACGGCCUUAGGGUUGUAAAGCACUUUCGGCUGUGAAGAUAAUGACAGUAGCAGAAGAAGAAGCUCCGGCUAAAUUCGUG